GGCGGGCAGUGGGGCUGAGGGGCGGGGAUGCCUCGUGCUUUUCUGUGAACUUCCAAUCGCAAUUGAAGCAAAUUUCAGUGUGAAUUUGCGAGACAGCUACGUAAGAGGUGUAUCGCUGCUCUGUACAGAGAGUAGAGGAUGUUACCCAGAGGACUGAGCACAGAUCUGGAUGUGGGAUCAGGAUCGUGCAGCAGCACUGCGGGUCUGGAGCUGAACAAAGACAGGUCUGGAUUGCUCUGGAUUUUUUUCUUCAGCAUUUUGGGAAAAUGAAUAAGGACACCAGGAAUGUUCAAAGGUUUCCAGUGUUCAAAGAAAUACAGCAGCUGAACAGUACUUACUGAAGCUCUUCUUCUUCGAUGAAGCCGCUCUUGUCCUGAUCAAGGAUUCCAAAAACUUUCUUUAUCUGAUCAGGAGUUUUGCUGGAUAAACCAACCGUGGAGAAGAAAGACUUGUAAUUGAAGGAAUCCGCAGCUGGAAGAAACAAAAACCUCUUAAAUGUUUUCCUUUGAAGUUGCUACUACUGCAUGUACUCCUCAGGAGUACGUACACCUGGUUUUAAACAUCAGCCUGCUCCUUUUGCUCUUGUUCCCCAGUGCAGCAAAGAUGAUUUGGUGGAUACUUGCCCUUUUUAAUCACUCUGUGCCUUUGGUCAUAUUAUCCUUUCAUCCAGUUUGAAAUUUUCUGCUACAGUGCACAUCCUGCUAAAUCAGGACUCUAGCUAUCUGUGUCACAUGCAAUUAAUAAUAAGUAAUCAGAGGGUGCUGCAGUGCCUUACGAACAACUCCUAUAAUUCUUGUUUUAUAUGCACUUAGUCCUUACUUCGGUGAAGAAUUUGGUAGAAAAUAAAGAAAUCGGCAGCCUUGAACUAGCUCAUAGUGCGCUUGGGGAACUGGCUUGAUCCUGCCGGGGAGGAACUCUGAGAGAAGCAAGACUGGUCACUGCUUCACAAGAAAUGGGGGGAUUCUGCAAGCUGCAGCUCGUUCUGGCAUUCUGAAGGACAAGGCUAACCAUUUAAAUCUAGGUCCUCAACAGGUUUGAAAAUUCAGAGCCAGCUUUACACUAACUGAAUCUGUGGCUCUUAUUGCCACUCUGUUUCGGGUAAUGUUACCCACCAAAUAACCACUUGUAAGACUUUCUGAAUUCAAGGAGCUAUACUGUAACGUAGCUACAAAGAGAUCUCACAGGGAAGGAAUCUAAGGGAAAAACGAUAGGCAUGUCAUCUUAAGACAUAAAAAUGAUAUGCAUCUUUUGGCUGGAGAGAGACCGUUCCUUACCCUGGCAGCUGGAGAGAGCAGAUUCAAUAUCUUUAGCAGAAAGGAUGUCAGUGAUGGCCAUUGUUGAGCUGUAAAAUAAAUUAAAUGUGAGCUACUUAGUCAUUAAAAUGACUUCUCUACCUC